UACGAGUGCCCCAAGCGUUAUCCGGAAUUAUUGGGCGUAAAGGGCGUGUAGGUGGUCUUGUUAGUCUUCUGUGAAAUUCUUCGGCUUAACCGGGGGUCCGCAGGGGAAACGGCAGGACUAGAGGAUGCGAGAGGUGUGCGGAACUCAUGGUGUAGGGGUGAAAUCCGUUGAUAUCAUGGGGAACACCGAAAGCGAAGGCAGCACACUGGCGCACUCCUGACACUGAAACACGAAAGCGUGGGUAGCGAAUGGG
rnacentral:rRNA from 1 species